rfam:Ciona savignyi cont_64290, whole genome shotgun sequence.
ACUGGGUUGGCCGAGUGGUUAAGGCGUUGGACUUAAGAUUCAAUGGACAAGUGUCCGCGUGGGUUCGAACCCCACACCCAGUA